GUUGAGCGACUAACCAGGCUUCGGCCUGGGGCAAAGCAGCGAACGGGUGAGUAACACGUGGGUAACCUGCCCCGAUGACCGGGACAACCCGAGGAAACUCGGGCUAAUACCGGAUGUGCUUCACAUACAUCAGUGUGUGAAGCAAAGGAAGCUUCGGCCUCCGCAUCGGGAGGGGCCCGCGGCCCAUUAGCUAGUUGGUGAGGUAACGGCUCACCAAGGCUGCGAUGGGUAGCUGGUCUGAGAGGACGAUCAGCCACACUGGGACUGAGACACGGCCCAGACUCCUACGGGAGGCAGCAGUGGGGAAUCUUGCGCAAUGCGCGAAAGCGUGACGCAGCAACGCCGCGUGAGGGAAGACGGCCUUCGGGUUGUAAACCUCUUUCAGGAGGGACGAAGGGUCGGCCGCGAAUAGCGUGCCGGCUUGACGGUACCUUCAGAAGAAGCUCCGGCUAACUACGUGCCAGCAGCCGCGGUAAUACGUAGGGAGCAAGCGUUGUCCGGAAUCAUUGGGCGUAAAGCGCGCGUAGGCGGCCUCAUAAGUCCGUUGUGAAAGUCAAAGGCUCAACCUUUGAAUGCCGAUGGAUACUGUGAGGCUAGAGUCCGGAAGAGGCGAGUGGAAUUCCUGGUGUAGCGGUGGAAUGCGCAGAUAUCAGGAGGAACACCAACGGCGAAGGCAGCUCGCUGGGACGGUACUGACGCUAAGGCGCGAAAGCGUGGGGAGCGAACAGGGUUAGAUACCCUGGUAGUCCACGCCGUAAACG
rnacentral:rRNA from 1 species